AACGUAGGAGACGAGCGUUAUCCGGAUUUACUGGGCGUAAAGCGCGUGCAGGCGGCAUGGCAAGUUGGAUGUGAAAGCUCCCGGCUUAACUGGGAGAGGUCGUUCAAAACUGCCAGGCUUGAGAGUGGUAGAGGGAAGCGGAAUUCCGGGUGUAGUGGUGAAAUGCGUAGAUAUCCGGAGGAACACCAGUGGCGAAAGCGGCUUCCUGGCCCAUUUCUGACGCUCAGACGCGAAAGCUAGGGUAGCAAAC
rnacentral:rRNA from 1 species